CCUGUGUGAUGAAACAGAGGGUGCCCUGCAGCUGUCCCUGGUGAAACCACACUACUGCUCUGAGAGCUGACAGUACAGUCUAUGUCUGGAAACAGUACAGGUGCACUAACAGUCUCUCUCACGAAGACUGAAGGCACGGGGAGCUCCCUGCUGGGGGCGGGACAAAGCCUCGGCAUGCCCCUGAUCGAGCAGACUGCCGGUGCUCCCCCGAGGCAACUGAAAGGCCAAGACUGGCAGCAGUGGCUCACGGGCCAGAGGGACGUCCACAGAGUACUGCUCUGGACAGGGAGUAUCAAACUGACCCUCGAGCAGCCUGCACAUGUGUGGCCGGAAGUUGGGCUUGGUCUGCUCUUUCCAAGCCUGCUGCUGCUGCCCCAGCAUGUGAGUGACAGGAGGUAGGAGGGGCAUGUGCACAGGGGGCGUGGUCACCAACAACGGAGAGGCGGCUGUGACCCUGGUCACAGUGUGUGGAGACUCCAGGCAAUUAACAGGGGAGCUCCCCCCAUUUGCCCUCUCUGCCACUGUGGGGCAAUUAGCUCCUGCUCUUCUUGCCACCCCUAGGGAUACUCCUGCCCCCGAACAUGGCUUCUUUCUGUGCUUGGUCUUCAUCUCCUCCCCCGCCGUUCUGCUGUUGCCGACCCGCCUGCCCUUCUUGCCCUGCGCGCCGCCACCAGAGACCGCUGGGGCAGGAGCCAAGCCGCGUCCCAAGGGCCGGUCGGCACCUGGGGCCAGGUUGUAGUGGUCAAGCAGCUGCACGAUGUCGUGGUGCAUGCGCUCACAAGCCACGUCGCGGGGAAGCUGAUCCAGGUGGUCCGUGAUGUCCCUGCUGCAGCAGUGGUCCAACAGCACACGGGCCGCAUCGAAGCUGCCCUCCCGAGCCGCCAGGAACAAGGGGGUCUCCUCCUAAUGGGAGAACAAAAGACUUCGGUAACAGAUUCUUAAUAUAACCCCGGUUUCCCACAAACCCUGUGGAUUUUGUGAGACACCAGCUGGUUCCCAAACUCGUGAUAGGAUUAUCUCAUGGAAAGGAUUAUCAUCCAUAAACAAUUUGCUCAUCAAAAGUAGAUAAGUGCUGUAUGACUGUGAAAUAGCGACGGAGGAAUCCCAUGAUGUGCGGUUUUCACAUAGUGCCUCAUUAUCAAAAGCUUUCUUCCAUUCGUCAUUUGAAAAACAUUUAUGUUCUAGAAGCCUGUUCACUGUUUGGCGUGUCAAAAAUGUAGGGACUGCCCGUUACAAGAACCAGGUGUUGAGGUUCAUCGAAGGGUUAUGGAAAAGCAGAAUUGACGUCAGAGAGGAUUAAAUACUGUAAAGAAGAACUGAAAACAUACUCCUGCAUUAUCUUGCUGUAAGUAGUCUUAUUUUUCUUUGAAUGCUAACUGCAACAAGUUUCAAGUUUCAUUCAAGUUUCAUUGUCAUAUACAGAUAACAAUGUAGCAUCAUUGCCCGCAAUGAAAUUCUUAGUCUCAUGUUCCCCCAGCUUUACAUGUGCUCACAAGCAUAUAGACAUAUAACAUCUAAACAUAUAGAAAAGUAUACAGACAAAAAAAAAAACAUUAUAACAAAAAUGGUGCAAAAUAAUGCAGUGAGAUAUUUUGAAUGGAUGGAUGCAAAAUUGUGCAGUGAGAAUUUACAGUGAUAUUGUUUAAAGUGACAUUGUUUAAAGUGACAUUGUGAAGAGACCUGCAGUUGUGGUGAGUGUAUAUCGGUGUGUACAGAAUGUCAGAAGCCUGAUGGCUUGUGGGUAGAAAACUACUGUUCUCUAGAGACCGGCUUGAGAAGAGUCUCCUGUCCUGUUUCAUUAUGACUGAUUCCACAGUUUUGAUUAAACCAUCAAUGAGUCUGGA